GCUGGGUGCAGUGGCACAGGCCUGUAAUCCCAGCUAUUGUGGAAGCUGAGGUGGGAGGAUCACUUGAGCCCAGGAGUUCCAGGAUGCAGUGGGCUGUGCCAGUCACUAAGUUUGGCAUCAAAAUGAUGGCCUUCAGGCAUGGGGUGGUAGUGAAUGUGGACCACCAGGUUUCCUGAGCGGGUGUGAACUGGCUUAGGUCUGAACGGAGUAAGUCAAAACUCCGUGUUGGUCAGUAGUUGGACUGUGCCUGUGACUAGCCACUGCAUCCCAGCUUGAGCAACAUAGUGAGACCCUGCCUCUU
ensembl:misc_RNA Metazoa_SRP Metazoan signal recognition particle RNA